CCCUAGAGGACGCAGUGUCUCAUUCCCUACUCAUGGAACCAUGGUUGCAUACGUAACCUGAUACGUUUUGAACCAGAUCUGAAGAGCG